rnacentral:rRNA from 1 species
UAGGGAAUCUUGCGCAAUGGGCGAAAGCCUGACGCAGCAACGCCGCGUGGGGGAUGAAGGCCCUCGGGUUGUAAACCCCUUUCAGCAGGAACGAAUCUGACGGUACCUGCAGAAGAAGGCCCGGCUAACUACGUGCCAGCAGCCGCGGUAACACGUAGGGGCCAAGCGUUGUCCGGAUUCAGUGGGCGUAAAGAGCUCGUAGGCGGUUCAGUUAGUCGGAUGUGAAAUCUCCGGGCUCAACUCGGAGGGGCCACCCGAUACUGCUUCUACUCGAGUCCGGUAGGUGAGUGGGGAAUUCCUGGUGUAGCGGUGAAAUGCGCAGAUAUCAGGAGGAACACCGGUGGCGAAGGCGCCACUCUGGGCCGGUACUACCGCUGAGGAACGAAAGCGGGGGGAGCAAACAGG